UGGGGUCGCCCCGGCGGAGGGGACGCCCUAGCACAGGUGCUGCAUGGCCGUCGUCAGCUCGUGCCGUGAGGUGUUGGGUUAACGUCCCGCAACGAGCGCCAACCCCGCCGUUAGUUGCCAGCGGUUCGGCCGGGCACUCUAACGGGACUGCCCGCGAAAGCGGGAGGAAGGAGGGGACGACGUCUGGUCAGCAUGGCCCUUACGGCCUGGGCGACACACGUGCUACAAUGCCCACUACAAAGCGAGGCCACCCGGCAACGGGGAGCUAAUCGCAAAAAGGUGGGCCCAGUUCGGAUUGGGGUCUGCAACCCGACCCCAUGAAGCCGGAAUCGCUAGUAAUCGCGGAUCAGCCAUGCCGCGGUGAAUACGUUCCCGGGCCUU
rnacentral:rRNA from 1 species